rnacentral:rRNA from 1 species
UACGAAGGGGGCUAGCGUUGUUCGGAAUGACUGGGCGUAAAGGGUGUGUAGGCGGUUCUACGCGUCAGAUGUGAAAUCCCCGGGCUUAACCUGGGAAUGGCAUUUGAUACGGUAGAGCUAGAGGUUGGUAGAGGGUAGUGGAAUUGCGAGUGUAGAGGUGAAAUUCGUAGAGAUUCGCAGGAACACCGGUGGCGAAGGCGGCUACCUGGGCCAAAACUGACGCUGAGGCACGAAAGCGUGGGGAGCAAACAGG